rnacentral:misc_RNA from 1 species
GAACGCAACCCCCGCCCUCCUCCUCCUCCUCCCCUCCAUCGCUCUCUCCGGUGUGGAGGUAGCAACUUGGACGAGCACACAUUUUCCUCUACACCCAUCGGGGCAUAAGCCGAGAGAGAGAGAGCCAUCUCCAGCAAAAGCGACGCACAGCCAGACGAGGAGACUUUGUCAGCUUGGCUGUCGUACCUCGCUGCUGUUGCUGCUGCUGCCUCAUCCAACGUUGUCAUCACCAUCACUUCAUUUCACUCUUACUUUUCCGUCAUCAGAGACAGUUGCGAAGGACCUGUUGGAGAGUCGCCAUGCCUUUGAACGGUACUGCUGGCGCUGGUGCUCCGUCACCGAGCGCGCAUCCGCAGGCUGGUACAGCUUCGUGCACCAGGAGCAGCACCACCGAUCUUACUGAACACCCUGCGGUACCGACAGCUCACAGCGAAGCCCACGCGCGCGGCCUUCUUCAAAGCCUCCCAGGCAACCGUAUCCUCGUCACUGGUGGCAGCGGCUUCAUCGGUAGCGCCUUAAUCCGCCACUUGCUCAUGUACGCUCCGGCGUCGGUGCACGUAUUUAACCUGGACACGCUCGAGUACUGCGCCGGUGUUGACGCGGUCCUCGGACCCCUCGCUGCGACGAGAGAUGAUGAUCGCGCAGCCGCGGACAGUCGCGCGCCGGCGUCGGAGGGUGCGAACGGCACUGUCGCUUCUUGUUUCUUGUCCUGUGACGUCUCACCAGUAUCACGUUACCAUUUCAUCGCCGGUUCUAUCCUGGAUGCGACCCGUGUGCUAGAAGCACUGCGCACCCAUCAUAUUGACAUUAUUGUGCACAUGGCCGCACAGACGCACGUCGAUCACAGCUUCUCCAGAAGCAUACUCUUCACCCAGGUGAAUGUUGUGGGCACGCACACGCUACUGGAGUGCGCGCGGCAGUACGGCCAGCUGACGCGCUUCUUAUACAUGAGCACGGAUGAGGUGUACGGUGAAACCCCCGCGACAGCGCAGCCGGCUAACGAGGCGUCGACAGUGCUGUGCCCAACGAACCCGUACGCGGCGACGAAGGCCGCAGCGGAGCACCUCGUUUCCGCCUAUUAUCACUCAUUCAAGCUGCCCAUGCUUAUCUCCCGCGGCAACAACGUCUUCGGGCCCGGCCAGUAUCCUGAGAAGGUGAUCCCAAGCUUCAUUGUGCAUGCGCUGCGCCGGGAGCGGCUGCCGAUCCACGGCGAUGGCCACCAUCAGCGCAGCUUCAUCUAUGUAGACGACGUGGCCAGAGCACUGUGCACCAUUCUCGUGCGCGGCGGUGUCGGUGAAGUCUACAACAUCGCCAGCGAGAGGGAGUUCUCUGUGCACGAGGUCGCGCAGCGGGUCGUUGCAUGUGCCGCCGGCGACGACCACGACAAGGUGAUCGCUGCCUCUCGCGCGGACUUCGAUGCCUCCUAUGUGCGCUACGUAGCGGAUCGCGCCUACAAUGACGCGCGGUACUGCACCGGAAGCGAGAAGCUGGCGGCGCUGGGCUGGGCGCAGGAGGUCUCGUUCGAAGAGGGGCUGCGCCGUACCGUCGGCUGGUAUCGCAGGCAUCCUUUGAAGGCUGGCGGGUACUGGAGAGGUGCAGGUGAGGCUGGCGCCACGGCCCCUUGCACCGACCAGCCGUAUCUUUUAUGAGAAGAGAAAAGACCCUUUUCCUUGUGUGACGCCUUCACCGCCACGCUCCAUCCCCUGCAUGCCCUUGCUGCCGCCGCACGCGCGUCCCAUGGCGUGCGGAGGAUGACGGGAGCCGUAGAGGUGAACGAGAAGAGACAGCAGGGGUCAUGGCAAGCAGACACACACAC